UCCGCCUACCGGGAAAGGAUGCUCCCGCUCGGCUCCGGACUGAGGCUGCUCGGGGCGGGACCUGGAGUUCGCGCCCCCGCCCGAGUUCCUGCGGGCGUCGAGAUGCCGAAGGCAGCUGGUGCGACGAACAAGGCUAAAAGCCAGAGCAAGGAGCCAGAGAGACCACUUCCUCCCUUAGGUCCUGUGGCAGUUGAUGCUAAAGGUUGUGUCACCAUAGCCAUCCAUGCCAAACCUGGCUCUAAACAAAAUGCUAUAACAGAUCUGACAGCCGAAGCUGUAAGUGUAGCUAUUGCAGCACCUCCAUCGGAAGGAGAGGCUAAUGCUGAGCUCUGUCGGUAUCUCUCCAAGGUCUUAGAACUCAGGAAGAGUGAUGUGGUUUUAGAUAAGGGCGGUAAAUCUCGUGAAAAAGUGGUGAAGCUUUGGGCCUCCACAACUCCAGAAGAGAUCUUGGAGAAAUUGCAAAAGCAAGUUGAAAAAAAAUAAAAGGACAGGAACGAAAACACCAACUGAAAUUCGCCCAUCCGCCCAUGGAGACGUUGGUGGAAGAUUGUGAGCUGCACUUGCACCCAAGUCAGCCCAGACACACUGCACUCUACUUCUGGAGGCACAAAGCUGACAUUGACUGGGCACCUGUUAGGAGCCUGGUUUAGUGACAGCUCAUCUCCACUUUUCCAGUCUGACAGCACUGGUAACUAACUCCUCAUUCAUAGUGUAAGUCAUAUGCUAAUUCAUAUUUUAAUUCAUGUAAGGAAAUAAUCACAACUCUAAGUCUCCUCCUGCCUACCUCAUCUUCUAUGAGCUACUCCACAUCCUUUAUAUGAACAUUAUGCUUUACAUU